UACACACAAUAGACAAACUAUUGUAUAGAACGCACAUGAUCCGUAUUUUAAUUGGACAAACUCUGUCAAGCGUUGAGAGCCAAAACAUGUAAUUAUAAAGUUCCAGCAAGAGUCCACGCUCUAGCAGCAUACCAACAUUAAGAAGCCUUCAGAUGAUAAUCAGGAUGACCUCUCCAACAAUGAACCAGUCUUUGAAAUCUUAAACUGUUUACCACAAGCAUAUAUAAAAGAAGAUAAUGACCAAGUUUGACACAAGUCAUCCUUUACAAUGUGGAGAUAGGGCACCGGAUCAUGGAGCGAACUGACCACUGAGUGACCACACACCUCCUCGGGGCCCCUGGGGCGUUGACUGGAGCACUCUGCCCUGGUCGGCUGACUGCUGGGGUGGUCAAGUGGACUGAAGCAAUCUGGACAAUCACACCACUACCGCAUGAAUGAUGUUCAGUUACAACAUAACACAUGUACUACAAAGCAAAAGUAUGCAAGGCAAGCACCAGGUUGUGGAAAUCCUUAUGCAAGGGAAAUAACUCUGCUUAAAAUGGAGCAGAGAAGCAACAGCACAGACAGACCAGAGUUUCAGCCCAGGAUGGGCCAGUACACCAGUACUGCCAAGCCUUGACAGAGAGUUGUCUCCCUUGAAGACAAGCUAACAGAGUCAUCCAUCAAGACAUGACUACAGGACCAGACAAUCCAGUGAUCAACAGCAUGAGCAUCGAUAUGUGCAGUUGGGAACCGAGGACAUGUGUCAACCAAGUCAGCGAGCCUAGCCACCCGAUCCCGU